rnacentral:lncRNA from 1 species
CGAUAUUCCGAGUUCUUGAAAGCUCAUCUUCGCAAGGAAGUGGAGAAACAAGAAUGGGAUCGUGUGGAAGUCGUUCCAUACCAGCGGCCUUACACAGAGAUGGAGCAGCUCUGGAGAGACAGGGCGGAUGCGAGUAACAGGAGAGCCAUGCGAGCCAUGGGCUAUUCAGGGUACGAGGAGCCCCUUCCCACCCCGCAGCAAGAUCCACCAACUGCCACAGCUAGUUAUUACUCCACAGACAUACUAGCAAGGGCAAGAGAACGCGCAGGAUCAGGACUUGACGUCAUCGACUUGACCCAGCAUCAUCGCAGACGAUACGAAGAUCACUGAAUGCUUUUCACGCCACCACUGACCGAGUAAAAUAGAAUGUAGACUAUCCAAUAAGCCAUAUCUAUAACUACGAAUUAAUACUUAUACUAAUUGUUUAAACUUUAUCUCUUAUUACUACAUAUUAUCAUUAGUUUUAGUCACUUAUCAAUAACUAUUUUUACAUUCACCUCCCCCAACCAUGGACCGCUGUUGGGGUCGAGAUGACUGUACACACCCAACGAAUGCGCUGGCAGAGACGCCAGCAGAGGAGAUUACAGUCUGCCCAAAGUGACAUGCAUGUGCUGCCUAUGGCUGCAUAACAGCAGUCAGCAGGCAAACGCAUGCAACCAUAAGUUAAAUAGCAGCCCUAAAAAUAUUGUAUAUAAUGCUAAGGAAAGUAUCGAUACAAUAAAAUAUAUUUAUCGGAGCGUGAGCUGGCUCCCCUGAACCUGCUGGUUCAGAUUCAGGUGGGAGCUGGUUCACGUUCCGAUAAACUAGUACACGUGUGCCACCGCAGCAUACGACAAGCAAACAGCUCCUCCAGCAGCAGACACUCCAGGUCCUGCAGCGACACCGGAACUCGUGAGGGGAAUGUCCUCUCCUCAUCCAUUACAGCGUUUCAGCACGGAAACGGUGCCGCCGCGCACCUAUAUCUUUGACCCGGCGCCAGAACCAGAGCCAGACAGCGAUGAGAUGGAAGAUGACGGGGACGAAGCGUGGACAGAUGACUCCUUAAAUGGGGUUGAAGCGUACCGUCGGACCCUGAGGUACCAUCUCGACAACCUUGUAUCCUGGCAGGGAUACAACUAAGGAGCCAACUGUCCCCACUCCAAUUUUUGAACUGACCUGCAAAAUUAAAUCACAAUUAAAAUCCACUAAAAUCACAUCU